rnacentral:rRNA from 1 species
AAAGACCUCGCGUUAUUGGAGCGGCCGAUAUCUGAUUAGCUAGUUGGUGGGGUAAAGGCUCACCAAGGCGACGAUCAGUAGCUAGUCUGAGAGGAUGAUCAGCCACACUGGAACUGAGACACGGUCCAGACUCCUACGGGAGGCAGCAGUGGGGAAUUUUGGACAAUGGGCGCAAGCCUGAUCCAGCCAUUCCGCGUGAGUGAAGAAGGCCUUCGGGUUGUAAAGCUCUUUCGCAAGGGAAGAAACGAUACGAGCGAAUAACUCGUGUUAAUGACGGUACCUUGAUAAGAAGCACCGGCUAACUACGUGCCAGCAGCCGCGGUAAUACGUAGGGUGCGUGCGUUAAUCGGAAUUACCGGGCGUAAAGCGAGCGCAGGCGGUUUUGUAAGUCAGAUGUGAAAUCCCCGGGCUCAACCUGGGAACU